rnacentral:tRNA from 1 species
AUUUGUGUAAUAUAUAAGUAUAUUUGACUUCCAAUCAUAAAGUCUACUAAAUCAGUAGUACAAAUA